rnacentral:lncRNA from 1 species
AUUUUCUAUUGCUGCAGUCAUGUGAGGAGAGUCCUUCCCCUCGCGCCAGGAUUCUGAGGCCUCCCCAGCCAUGUGGAACUGGCAAGGAUUGUUAUGACCUUUUUGCUAUUCUGGUGCAGAAAGCAUUUCAUGUAAAACCUGGGGUUGAUGACAUGAGCAAUAUCCGGAGAGAGAGAGAGAGAGAGGUUCCUAUAGAAUACAAGACAAGACUAUCACAAUGUUACAUGACCAUGACCUUAAGGAAUGAAGGAUUCUCUAUCCUGCUGACUGGUUUAUCCUCAAAGCUGAAAUGUUGGGUCUGUGAAAGUGAUGAGAAGCACAGUGGAAAUAAGUUUCUGAAGGAUGGAAGAGGCUGGAGGCUGGCUAGUGGGAGAAGGUUCCCAGACACAUGAGAGAACCAGCAACAGAUUAAAAUCAUCCUUACCUGACAAGAGGACCCAGUGAAUCAAUGU